rnacentral:rRNA from 1 species
UACAGAGGGUGCAAGCGUUGUUCGGAUUUACUGGGCGUAAAGCGUACGCAGACGGCAUCGUAGGUCGGGUGUGAAAGCCCUGGGCUCAACCCAGGAACUGCAUUCGAAACCACGGAGCUCGAGUGUGGGAGAGGGAAGUGGAAUUCCUGGUGUAGAGGUGAAAUUCGUAGAUAUCAGGAGGAACACCGGCGGCGAAGGCGGCAUCCUGGACCAUUAUUGACGCUGAGGAGCGAAAGCCAGGGGAGCAAACGGG